GAUCCUGGCUCAGAACGAACGCUGGCGGCAGGCUUAACACAUGCAAGUCGAGCGCCCCGCAAGGGGAGCGGCAGACGGGUGAGUAACGCGUGGGAACAUACCCCUUGGUUCGGAAUAACUCAGGGAAACUUGAGCUAAUACCGGGUACGUCGGCAACGAGAAAGAUUCAUCGCCGAGGGAUUGGCCCGCGUCCGAUUAGCUUGUUGGUGAGGUAACGGCUCACCAAGGCGGCGAUCGGUAGCUGGUCUGAGAGGAUGAUCAGCCACAUUGGGACUGAGACACGGCCCAAACUCCUACGGGAGGCAGCAGUGGGGAAUAUUGGACAAUGGGCGCAAGCCUGAUCCAGCCACGCCGCGUGAGUGAUGACGGCCUUAGGGUUGUAAAGCUCUUUCGCCAGGGACGAUAAUGACGGUACCUGGAUAAGAAGCCCCGGCUAACUUCGUGCCAGCCGCGGC
rnacentral:rRNA from 1 species